GCAUGCAUCUGUGCUCACUCAGACCACACCCCCAUGAGUAGGAUGCAACAUUCUAGGGAUGGAGAUGUAGAGUUUUAUAAGUAACGAGGGAGCAGACAAAGGUGUUUAGAACACAAUGGCAUGUCAAGUCUGUAAAUCUCUAAACCAUGAAGAUGAUUGGAUAGUUCAGGAAUUGGGCUUCUAUUUAUUAUGAGCAGUCCUUUCGCUCAGAUGCCCACUUCUCCCUAGACCUGUACAUGAGUUGGCUGGCUGGCAUGAUUUGCUGUUGGUGAUGAGGCGGUCAAGGUGACGUUGCAGGGCUUAUGGUUGGCUCUCUGUGAGCUAAAUGUUUAGAUUUGCUCUGUAUGGUUUGUACCCUGAAUAAUCUAUAAAAGUGUAAAAUGUAGACGCGGUUUUGUAUUGAAUGAUUCCGUUGUUCUUAGGCAAGGAUUUGAGGUUUAAAGUUGUUGUGGGACAUACAUGGUAGUUUGGUUCUUUGUAUGUUUUUGAGUGAUAUAGCUUGUACACACUGGGUGCAUAAUAAUGUAAAGGUACCAACAGCAACAAACAGAUCUCCUCAAGGUAAGUCUGUUGGCUGUGUUUUAAUGUAGACCAUCGCUGGACUUCAGGAUCUUCCUCCGUUCAGCUCAAGGUGAGGCACUGGUUAUGUUUUUUCUUUGGUUGGUUCCGGCCGGAAUGUUCGGAUUCCGGUCGGACGGUUUGUGCUUCCCGCCGUGGAGGUUUCUGAGUGUGGUCACUUUAUUUAGUCCCAAUGGUUAGCAUAGAACGUUGUAGUCUUGAUAAACAUUAGAGGCCACCUGGCAGUUAGUUGGAGCGGAGUCCCCUGAGGGAAUCUGGCAGAACGUUCUGGGUUGUAUUUGCGCAACCUCGAGCCGCUGCCAACGGAAACAAUUUUUCAUUCGGUUUCCAUUGGGAAUUGUUGCCCCUUAUCUUAAACAACUUAAGUUUGAUAUUAAAUAAUAAUAAAUAAUACAUUUAAUUUAAAGGGCGCCUUUCAAGACACCCAAGGUCACCUUACAGAGCAUAAAGUUAUCAUAAAUCGUUUAAAAACAAGACAUUAUGGAAAAAUAAUAAUAGAUAGAUAAAUAAAACAAACAAGACAAAACAAACAAUCAAGACAGUGAUCAGUUAGACGUAAAUACAUACUGAUACGUACGUUGUACAAUAUCUUGAUAAUUUUCGAUGGUUGCGCCGUACUUCUAACCACGUUGACGGGACUCGCGCUGCGUACGAAACGGCCUUCUACUUGCGGGCCCAUUUUUGACAUCGGUGAAGGCUGUAAAUCAUUUCAAGCUGGAAGACAUUUUGACAGUUCUUCAACGGAACCCAACACCUGAAUAUGGCUGAGUAAAUUUGAUUUAAUAUCGAUACUGCUUAGUGUUUGUUACUUCAGCUUUUGUACGUUCUAAAUAUCUGCGGCCAUUAAUUGCCACAGAAGUUAAACUCUACCCAAUGGAAUGACGUUAAACAACGACUUUGUUGCAGAGUUACCAACUGGAUAAUAUCAAAGCUAAAAUAAUGGCCGUUCUUCUCACAUGUUGCAGUAGAAGAUUAUCCAGAACUGUACAAGGUUAAAAAGGUAAAAAGUUUGUCCCAAGGUGUCUGCCUCCUCACCCAGAGCCAGACCUCCACCUCCUCACCCAGAGCCAGACCUCCACCUCGUCACCCAGAGCCAGACCUCCACCUCCUCACCCAGAGCCAGACCUCCACCUCCUCAGCCAGAGCCAGACCUCCACCUCCUGUCAGAAGUCGUCCAGAACAGGCGAGGCUGAGAGGCUGGGGACCGGAGGCUUGUGGUGCCAGGGUGGACCGGAGACUGAGGCUGGAGACCAGGGGCCUGCAGCACCGGACCAGAGGGUAACCAUCACCAAGCUCAUCUGAAACACUAAAAUCCACGACCAGGAAUCCAUGGCUGAAGGAGGAGCCGUGCUGGUGGAGCUGAUGGAGGAGCCCUGCUGAAGGCCCUGCCUGGUGGAGGCCCUGCCUGGUGAAGGACGUCUGUCUCGUGGGACCAGGACUCUAUCUGAGGAGAGCUGCUGGAGGAGCUGAGACGCUGGAGGACGACUAGGAAUCGACCAACAAGGAUUCCUCAACGUGUUUCUGGAGCGGAGGUGAGCUGGUAGGGGAGCCGUGAAUCUGGAGGAUGACCAUCACUCUACCAACAAGGAUUGGAAACCAGGACUCUGGCUGAGGAGAGCUGAUGGAGGAGCCAAGACUCUGGAGGACGACAUCACUCCACCAACAAGGAUCCUCACCAGGAAUCUGGAGGACUGAUGGAGAAGCCGUACAUCUGGAAGUCAAAUCCUGAGGACAACCAGGACUCUACCAUCAAGGAUUCCUCACACACCUGAGCUGAACCCCAACUGAACCUGACAUCCUGCUGGUCCCGUCUCCUCAGUUCAUCUGCGCCUCGUCCUCCAGAAGACCUGCUGAGCUCAGCAGUCUGAGGCUGAUGUAUCAAUGACCUCCAGUGGGAGUGAUCUUCUUGACCCCACAUACCAGGACUCUUUCUGAGGAGAGCUGCUGGAGGAGCUUAGACGCUGGAGGACGACUAGGAAUCAACCAACAAGGAUUCCUCAACGUGUUUCUGGAGCGGAGACGUUGGGGCCGGACUUGCGCUGUUUGUUCCAGACCAGGACUCUGCCUGUGGAGAGCUGAUGAAGGAGCAAAGACUCUGGAGGACGACAUCACUCUACCAACCAGGAUCCUCGAAUCUGGAGGACUGAUGGUGAAGCCGUACAUCUGGAAGGCAAAUUCUGAGGACAACCAGGACUCUACCAUCAAGGAUUCCUCAUAAGUUUGCAUUAUCUGGACAUAGUGGACUAGACACACCUGAGCUGAACCUCACCUGAUCUUGUUUGGUCGGGGGAAGACACACCUGAGCUGAACCCGCCCUGAUCCUGACAUCCUGCUGGUCCCGUCUCCUCAGUUCAUCUGAGCCUCUUCCUCCAGAAGACCUGCUGAGCUCAGCAGUCUGAGGCUGAUGGAUCAAUGACCUCCAGUGGGAGUGAUCUUCUUGACCCCACAUGUAACGUGUGCUUCCACACGCCUUUCCCUCACGUCUGUCACUAACCUCACUACUUCACUACUCUCUCCUGCUUCCUCUUUUCUUCCUUCUCUGUGGCUCAAACCUUUACACUGAAGGCGCGCCUUCCUGCCCUCAGAGGGUUCAACUUUAGGGGUUGAGAGUCAGGGUUUAGAGUCAGGGACAGAGCUGGUCAGGGAGGACUGCUUUUACACAAACCUCUUCACUUGCUUUCGGAAUGGUGGUGACAUUUUGAAAAGCCUCAUUUGGGAAAAUGUUUUCCUCUACUUUCCUUUACUAAAGUGUACUAAACUAUUGUCAUGUG